AGCGCCCUACGGGAGGCAGCAGUAGGGAAUUUUCGUCAAUGGGCGCAAGCCUGAACGAGCAAUGCCGCGUGAACGAGGAAGGUCUUCGGAUCGUAAAGUUCUGUUGAAGGGGAAAAAGAGCGGAGAGAGGAAAUGAACUCCGAUUGAUAUUACCCUUCGAGGAAGUCACGGCUAACUACGUGCCAGCAGCCGCGGUAAUACGUAGGUGGCGAGCGUUAUCCGGAUUUAUUGGGUUUAAAGGGAGCGUAGGCCGCAUGUCAAGCGUGCUGUGAAAUGUCCGGGCUCAACCCGGGCCUUGCAGCGCG
rnacentral:rRNA from 1 species